UCCUUUAGCGAUGUUUAUCUAGCUCUCACAAGCCCCAUUUGUUUGGUCCCUGAACACAACAUUGGUACUGGGUGUCAUCUAGCCAUAGUAGACUUAGGCUUGGCUCAUUAAAUUUUUAUUCUGAAUGUAGAUUUGUAUAGAGCUAUGCUGUUUCAGAAUUGGGACAUAUGGGUUGCCAUAUUCUGACAAGAGGAAGAGUUACCAGCAAGCUGAUCUGUAAUGAAAAUGAAGAAUGAAGUAGACAUGCAAAAAAGAGUAGGAUGAAGGACAUAUAAAAGACCUUAAUUAAUAGCUUUCUGCUUCCUGUACAAGGCCUGCCUGUUCACCCACAUUUCAUUCUGUUACCCAGGUAACAUUCUUACUGUUUUCUAUCUGAGCUAUGUCUUUUUUUUGGGGGGGGGUACAGAUAUUUUUAUUGAAGUAUAGUCAGUUUACAAUGUUGUCAAUUUCUGGCAUACAGUAUAAUGCUUCAGUCGUACAUGGAUGAGCUAUAUAUCUUGAGUUGGCUUCCUACGACUUUUCACCAGAGAAUUUUAACUAACCUAAUGGUUUGUAAUCUUUUUUCAAUUAUGACAUAAAUGUUGAACUUUUUCAUAUUUAUGAAUUAUUUCUGUAACAGAAGUAAUAUAGCCACCUUUAUAUCCAUGUAUCAUAAAUUAUUUUUCUAAAUCCUUAAUCCUUUAGGUUCUGAUUUUUAGCUUACUAUAAAUAAUUUAUCAAGGAAUAUAUGGUUGCUAAAUUUGGGGGCCCAAGCUUUUCGUUCUUUUCUUAGGACAAAUUGCUCAGUCAAAGCAUAAACAUAUUUUAAAAGAUCUUUGAUGUGCAUUGCCAAAUUGCUCUCCAGAAAAUUGUAUCAAUUUAUGCCUCCAUCCACAGGAAGAAGGCCUUUAUCCACACUGUGCCAGGAUUGGAUGUGACAAUCAGGAAGUUUUCUGAGCAUUCUGGUUUCCUCUGGAUGAUGGGCUCACCCGGCACUACAUUUAUUUUUUUUUGUUUUGCUAACUAGGAGUGACCGUGUAUCCUGUAUCCACAGAGGAAUUUUCUACUUCCUGAAAGCACUAAACUCAAGAUGAUUAGUACAAGAUGGAAGAAAAAAGGUGGCUUCAGGGACAUUGGAGCCUAGGAAAAAAAUCAGUAAUCAAGAAAAAAAUUACAACAUGUAAUUUUGAAAUUUCCAGACCAAGGCCUAACUGCACAACGUGUGGGAAACCUCACCCAAGGCACAUGGAACCCUGGCAGUUUCCCCCCUCAGGUCCUCAGUUACCGGUGGGGAACAAUGAGGCACCAUCGCUGGGACUUCCAUAAGGAUUCAGAGGCACUCUCUGCAUGCAGCCUGUGGGUGAGGGAGUAUUGGCUGUUCUUCCCUUUAAAAGACCAGAGUGGUUAUAUUUGAAUUGUGGCUCCAAUUAAAUAUUAAUUGCUCACAUCA